rnacentral:rRNA from 1 species
UACAGAGGUGGCGAGCGUUAUUCGGAAUUAUUGGGCGUAAAGAGCGCGCAGGCGGUCGUUCAAGUCGCGUGUGAAAGCCCCCGGCUCAACUGGGGAGGGUCACGCGAUACUGAUCGACUCGAAGGCAGGAGAGGGUAGUGGAAUUCCCGGUGUAGUGGUGAAAUGCGUAGAUAUCGGGAGGAACACCAGUGGCGAAGGCGACUACCCGGCCUGUUCUUGACGCUGAGGCGCGAAAGCUAGGGGAGCAAACGGG